CAGAAGAAGCACCGGCUAACUCCGUGCCAGCAGCCGCGGUAAUACGGAGGGUGCGAGCGUUAAUCGGAAUUACUGGGCGUAAAGCGCAUGCAGGUGGUUUGUUAAGUCAGAUGUGAAAGCCCGGGGCUCAACCUCGGAAUAGCAUUUGAAACUGGCAGACUAGAGUACUGUAGAGGGGGGUAGAAUUUCAGGUGUAGCGGUGAAAUGCGUAGAGAUCUGAAGGAAUACCGGUGGCGAAGGCGGCCCCCUGGACAGAUACUGACACUCAGAUGCGAAAGCGUGGGGAGCAAACAGGAUUAGAUACCCUGGUAGUCCACGCCGUAAACGAUGUCUACUUGGAGGUUGUGGCCUUGAGCCGUGGCUUUCGGAGCUAACGCGUUAAGUAGACCGCCUGGGGAGUACGGUCGCAAGAUUAAAACUCAAAUGAAUUGACGGGGGCCCGCACAAGCGGUGGAGCAUGUGGUUUAAUUCGAUGCAACGCGAAGAACCUUACCUACUCUUGACAUCCAGAGAACUUUCCAGAGAUGGAUUGGUGCCUUCGGGAACUCUGAGACAGGUGCUGCAUGGCUGUCGUCAGCUCGUGUUGUGAAAUGUUGGGUUAAGUCCCGCAACGAGCGCAACCCUUAUCCUUGUUUGCCAGCGAGUAAUGUCGGGAACUCCAGGGAGACUGCCGGUGAUAAACCGGAGGAAGGUGGGGACGACGUCAAGUCAUCAUGGCCCUUACGAGUAGGGCUACACACGUGCUACAAUGGCGCAUACAGAGGGCGGCCAACUUGCGAAAGUGAGCGAAUCCCAAAAAGUGCGUCGUAGUCCGGAUUGGAGUCUGCAACUCGACUCCAUGAAGUCGGAAUCGCUAGUAAUCGUGGAUCAGAAUGCCACGGUGAAUACGUUCCCGGGCCUUGUACACACCGCCCGUCACACCAUGGGAGUGGGCUGCAAAAGAAGUAGGUAGUUUAACCUUCGGGGGGACGCUUACCACUUUGUGGUUCAUGACUGGGGUGAAGUCGUAACAAGGUAGCGCUAGGGGAACCUGGCGCUGGAUCACCUCCUUA
rnacentral:rRNA from 1 species